AACGAACGCUGGCGGCAUGCCUAACACAUGCAAGUCGAACGAAGGCUUCGGCCUUAGUGGCGCACGGGUGCGUAACGCGUGGGAAUCUGCCCUUUGGUUCGGAAUAACAGCUGAAACGGCUGCUAAUACCGGAUGAUGACGAAAGUCCAAAGAUUUAUCGCCAGAGGAUGAGCCCGCGUUGGAUUAGGUAGUUGGUGGGGUAAAGGCCUACCAAGCCGACGAUCCAUAGCUGGUCUGAGAGGAUGAUCAGCCACACUGGGACUGAGACACGGCCCAGACUCCUACGGGAGGCAGCAGUGGGGAAUAUUGGACAAUGGGCGCAAGCCUGAUCCAGCAAUGCCGCGUGAGUGAUGAAGGCCCUAGGGUUGUAAAGCUCUUUUACCCGGGAAGAUAAUGACUGUACCGGGAGAAUAAGCCCCGGCUAACUCCGUG
rnacentral:rRNA from 1 species